rfam:Streptomyces sp. AA4 genomic scaffold supercont1.1, whole genome shotgun sequence.
GCUGGUUCAGUCCGACCCCCCGGGGCUGAACCCCUGGCGGCCCUCGUCCCUCCCCCCUGGCGAGGGCCGCCUUCU